rnacentral:tRNA from 1 species
GGUUCGUUGGUCAAGAGGUUAAGACACCGCCCUUUCACGGCGGUAUCACGGGUUCGAAUCCCGUACGGACCA